CCCCUAGCCCUUCCCCUGACUCACAUCUUCCCUGCGUCCCCCACCCCAACUCCUCGCAGGAGUCCUAGACUCGACUUCCCUAAGAAGUCGCCGAAACUCUCCAGUCACCCCAGGUGUUCCGCCCCGGAUUCUGCGGAGUCGGGCAUAUCGUUGCAAAAUUGUAUCCUCUGGGCAUCUCGCGGCCUCACCCACCGCACGGCCCGCGCUCCCGCUGGGGCCCGCACACCCCAGGAGCUCAAUAAUGUGGAGCGCAGGGCUUGGCCCAAAGGCGUCAAGCAAGUCUCCACUUGCACGGGCCGAGGGGGCUGGACGAAACCUUCCCAAGUCCGCGGGGAAGGGAUUUCUCUGCGGGGCGUUGUGUGGGGGCUUCGCACCGGGAAGGGUGCCGAACGAGCAGAGAGCCCCGGGGCCCGCUGGCAAGAAGCAGAGUAGGGGGCGCCCGCCCGGGCCACGGCGCCCGACGCGGGCUCUGCGGGCGCCCUGCCUCGUGGUCCCCCGGGCGCGAGCGAGCCGGGAGGGAAAGGAGAGGCCGCACGGGCCCCUGGCACGGCUCCCCCUGCCGUGCUGGCGACCGCGGCGGGCGGGCCGGGGCGGAGGGGCGCUGUUUCCACCGAGAUGCCUCGUCCCUCCCUCGUUCCCUCCCCCACCCCGCCCGCCCGCGGUCCCUCCCGUCGGUCCCUCCCUCCGGCUCUUCCCUCCCUCCCGCCCUGCCUGCUUCGCGCCCGCCCCAGCCGCCGCCUGCGGGGACGUGUGUGUCUCUAGUGCAAUUUCCCCUUUCGCUCGCUCGUUUCGGUGCAGGUCUGCGCCGGCUCGCGCCCCCUCCCCGGGUGCCCCUGCCGCCCCCUGUCUUGGCCCGGCCCUCCCCGGCGUCCGCCCAGCUCCCCGCGCGCUCCACCCCGCCCCCUGCCCCGUUUUAUCAGGGGCGCCGCCGUCUCACCUGGUAUUUGCAUCUCUCCCUCCAACUUGCCAUUGGCGGCGCGACGUGUGGGAGAGCCCUGCGCCUCACCCGCCCGGACCAGCCUGCCCCGGCGCCGAGUUCCCGGCGCCACUCGCCCGGCCACCGAAGGGAGAGGACGGGCUGGCGGGGCUGGGGACCCGCGUCUCGGCCCCCGGAGCUGGGAGGGGACCACGGAGACAGACCCCGGCCCGGCGACCAAGCUGGGCCCGUGAGCCACUCGGCCUCAGGUACGUCGAUGGCGCCGGUUCUUCGAGCCUUCGGGGACCUGGAAAAGUUUGCCUGAGGGCGGAAUCGAGAGCGCUGGGGCCCCGGCGUGGGGCUGGGGGCCCGGGGAAGGGCGGGAGAGUCGCGGCGUGUCGCGAGCCGCCCUGGCGUCGCCCCGCCGCGCGUGUGCUGGAGAACCCGGGCUCUCCAUCCCGGGAUGGAAAUGGAAUGGAUUCCCCGAGUCGGGGAGUCGGGGUAGGGACCCCUGUUUUCCCUCGUCCCCAGCAGCCCGGGUUCCGUGACGGGGCCGAUCGUGACAGCGGGGCCCCCAGAAGCUGGGCGCCCGAGGACAGAGGAGGUGGGGCGGACUGUGGCGGAGCUGCUAGAUUGAUCCGACUGCCCCCGGGGCUUCUGGGGCCAGGGCUUUAGGGUCACACGCUUACACGCGCACGCAGACCUAUGACUUGGAGAACUGGAUCGCCAAAAUAGAGACCUCUUGGCAGGGGCCAGAGUUUCCGUGUGAGCCAGCCUCCAGCCUUCCCGCUCCCGCGUUCCCGCUCUCCCCGGCUCUCCCGCCUCCCCGUUCCCUCCCGGGCCGCCGCCUAGGGGACUCAGCAGCCGCACCGUGCGGGGUCCCCUCACGCCAGCGCCUUGCUUUGGAGGCUUGAGGGACUGCUGAGGCGAUGACCGCUUUAUGAAUUCCUGGCUCCUCCACCGCACCCUAAUCCUGAUGCCUUUUUCUCACCACCGUAUGCCUGGACAUCACCUUCCUGACCAGAGUCACCUCCCGAACCCUUGGCACCUCGGCUCAGUGAGGUCCUCCUGGGCCGUCCCCGCCCCUCACCAUACCCCAGCUGAGGGAUUUGAUGGCCAUUUGAUUCCUGCCCCUCAUCCCUAGGCCUGUGAUAGAGAGGCCUGUCUGGUCCUGCAGCUUCUUCUGGUUAAUGUUUGACAGUUCAUUGUGGCUAAUUAUUUUAAUUAGCUCUUAAAGUGGGAAGGAACAGUUAACCUUGGACUUCUCGAUUUUGGCCUGGUGGGGCCUCAAAUGGGAGGAGUGCUGGGGAGGUGGGGAGGUAGGAGCGGAAGUGAGGUCACCACUCCAGGGCCUGAACCACCACUGCUCAGCCCCAACAGCUGGUGGGCACGCCCAUUGGGGACUCACCCCCUGCGAACUGACCCCUGGCCCUAGUGCCAGGUUGGAGGUGGGUGAAGGGAACAGUUCUAGCUCUUCCCUUUGUGGAGACUUUGGCACUGAAAAUGCCCGGGGAACACGUAUGCCCAGCAAGAAUGCCAGUCCUUCCUUGCAGUUAGUUACACUGGGUUUUCCUGGUUAUAAAGUGCUUUCUCGACCAUUAAUUCAGACUCAGUGCAUCCAGUACAGGAGCAGCUUAGGGGGAGCUCUCUGGAAUUCAGUGAAGAUUAUCAGGGA
ensembl:lncRNA